AUACGGAGGAUCCGAGCGUUAUCCGGAUUUAUUGGGUUUAAAGGGAGCGUAGGUGGAUUGUUAAGUCAGUUGUGAAAGUUUGCGGCUCAACCGUAAAAUUGCAGUUGAAACUGGCAGUCUUGAGUACAGUAGAGGUGGGCGGAAUUCGUGGUGUAGCGGUGCAAUGCUUAGAUAUCACGAAGAACUCCGAUUGCGAAGGCAGCUCACUAGACUGUCACUGACACUGAUGCUCGAAAGUGUGGGUAUCAAACAGGAUUAGAUACCCUGGUAGUCCACACAGUAAACGAUGAAUACUCGCUGUUUGCGAUAUACAGUAAGCGGCCAAGCGAAAGCAUUAAGUAUUCCACCUGGGGAGUACGCCGGCAACGGUGAAACUCAAAUGAAUUGACGGGG
rnacentral:rRNA from 1 species